AAAAAAUCUUUUAAUUUAAAAUCGGCACCGCACUUUUCUUAAGGACUAUCUCAACUACCUUACCGACACUUCCUAUUUAAUUUGUUUAAAUUCGUUUUGUUCACUUUUUGUUUUGAUGGUUUAUUUCCAGCAACGAUUCUUCCGAUGACCCUUGUUCUGUCUCGCAGUUGGAGCUAUUCAAUGGCUCUAAGAGGAACCGGAGUCGUUUUUGGAUUUAGUCAAACAAUGAAGUUUUGUUGUCUUAUGAGAUGAAUCCUAUAAUCCUACAGACGUUCAAAAAAUUUCAAAAGUUUUUCAUUAGAUACACCCCUUCGAGGAAUAUAUAUCACGUGCUUCCUUACCUUUAAAAAAAAUGUAUGCACUUGCCUCAAGAAACCUUAGUUUGCUUUUUUGUUUUGGAGUCAAGGGAAACCUAUAUGGCUCGUGGAUUCAAGACCACCUCGAUCAACAGGAUGGACCAAAAAACGUCGAAGUGUCUUAACUCUCUCCCUGUUGCGUUGAUGGCUUGAAGUUAAGUCUUGACUACUUGUUUUUUCUUUCACGAAUCGUGAAUCAAGGGGAGAUUAUUAGAUUAGAGCUAUAUAGUAUAUAACCCUGGAAGACUAGUUAAAGAAAAUCUCGAGCGGAUUUAAUUUUUUUGAUGCGAACCUACCAAUGUUCGUUCCUUGAUCAAGAUUUCGAUGUGAUUCCUCAAAGGAUCUUAUUUUCAACAAGAAAGAACCUUUCUCCAAGCAAGAAUUUCAAUGAUUAAGAUUUUUGAUCAAUGAAAAAGUUUCUCCGAGGUGAUGGGAAGAUUAUUAGAGAAUUAACUAUUGUCUUAUAGAAAUUCUGGAAUGUAUCAGCGUCGUCGGUCAAAAAAAAAGGAUGUUUGACCACAUGCAAAACUGGAUGCUGGUCGCCGCUGAUAAAAAAAAUGUGAUUUUUAUAUUUCUGAUGGGAUUUUUUUUUUUGUUGAAGUAUGUACUUACUUAACAACUGUAUAAGCGGGAUCGCUUGCGCAGCGUACUCCCUGGACAAUAUAUUUUCGAUUAUCGAUUCCUCGACAA